UACGUAGGUGGCAAGCGUUGUCCGGAUUUAUUGGGCUUAAAGGGUGCGUAGGUGGUCAAUUAAGUCAGUGCUGAAAUAUCCCGGCUUAACCGGGAGGGUGGCAUUGAUACUGAUUGACUUGAGUAGAGUUGAGGUAGGCGGAAUUGACGGUGUAGCGGUGAAAUGCUUAGAUAUCGUCAAGAACACCGAUAGCGAAGGCAGCUUACUAAGCUCAAACUGACACUGAUGCACGAAAGUGUGGGGAUCAAACGGG
rnacentral:rRNA from 1 species